CUUAGUCUAUAAAUUAUCUUUAUUCUUUGACAUCUUACAGAUCUCUACACAGACAUCUGUGACCCUUCAGACGUUCAGGAUGCCCCAGAGAAGGGAACAUAGAGCUUCCUGUCUGCAUUACAUAAACUUUUCCUAAUAAAUGCAUAUGGUUAAGUUAUAAGGAAGGUAUAGUUGUAGACUAAACCAAAUAUUUUUUGUUUUAUUUUUUUUUGAGACAAAGUCUUGCUCUAUGGCCCAGGCUAGAACACAGUGGUAUGAUCUCAGCUCACUACAACCUCCACCUCCUGGAUUCAAGUGAUUCUCCUGCCUCAGCCUCAAAAUGAGAAGUUUUGAGAAGCAGUUUUGUUUGGGUCAAGGGGUACUUUCAAAUUACACUUAUGAGUCAGUAUCUAUAAAAAGUUUCAGAAGUACCUACAAUUUAGCCCUCUACAUCCAAGCAGUAGCUUUGCAGUAUGCUCUUACUUAGGUUUGCCCAAGUACAAAUAAAUUUUACAAAGCUUGAUAAUCUAAUAAAAUUCCCUCUUCCUAAAGCCAAACAGAUAAUUUUGGUGACAACAAUCUAGCAAAAAAGGAAGAAUUUUUUUUUCUUUUUUUUUUUUUUUUUUUGAGACAGGUUCUCAUGCUGUCACCCAGGCCGGUGUGCAGUGGCACAAUCUUGGCUCACUGCAGCCUUGACCUCCUGGGCUCAAGUGAUCCUGCAACCUCAGCCUCCCAAGCAGAUGGGACCACAGGUACAAGCCACAACGCCCGGCUAAUUUUUAUAUAUUUUUUGGUAGAGACGGAGUCUCAUCACGUUGCCCAGGCUAGUCUCGAACUCCUGAGUUCAAGCCAUCUUCCCGUCUCACCUCGGCCUCUCAAAGUGCUGGGAUUACAGGUGUGAGCCACCAUGCCCAGCCUAAAAAAGGGAGAAAUUUCUAGGUGCAUACUGCCUGCUGGACUGUAUAGCCCAUUACAACAUCUGGUCACUAAGAACCUCCUAUUAAUUCCUUACUUGCAUUCUCAGGAUCAAGACAAAAAAUAUGAGCAAGCAAAAACUUAUCAUCAAGCAAAAAGGUAUCUAUCUAUUAAAAUAGCUAGAUAUUUCCCAAACACCCCUCCUAGGAUAUCUGCUGCCAAUAAAAAGUUUGGGGCUAGUGAAAACUCUUGGCAUUAAAUAAAAGUAGGAAUCUAUUUCAUUGGCUUUCUCUGUGGCUCAAACUAUGGCCAUGGAAAAUUAUGCUCUGGAUAUAAUUGUGAAUAUAGAGGUCUUUAAACUGUGUCAUUGA
rnacentral:lncRNA from 1 species